UCCCAACCCAUGUGUGUAGGACCCCAAAGGAUCACCAUUAAAUAUGACACAGAUCUCUAGAAAAGUUAUCACAUGAUGUGGGACUUGACUUUUCUAGAGAUCUGUGCCAAAUUUAAUGGUGAUCCUUUGGGGUCCUGCACACAUGGGUGCGGU
rnacentral:pre_miRNA from 1 species